rnacentral:misc_RNA from 1 species
CAACCUGGUAGGACCAUUUCUGCCAUGUUAAGUCCUUAUUUCCCUGGUUAAGGCCGUUCAAUAUAACUGGACCUAGUAUGCCUGUUUUCCAUGUCUCAUAAUGCAACCCAAUAUUCGGCAAUCCAACAGCUAUGCUGAGUAAAGAAAUUCUAUUUGUUCCAGCACGCAGGUUGACUGGUCCUAUAAAGGUGAUUUGCCUGUUAUCCCUGGUCCCAAAAGCUGAUCCAGAAAACUGCCCAUUGAUGAAGACAUGAAGACCAUGGCCUGCUGACCGCACAGUGAGACUAGGCUUUUGCCCGUUUUGAAGAAAUACCUCUGAUGGGCUAAUGUCAACACUGGUCAAGUACCACAGAUAGUCGCUGGAAUCUCUAGUGACAUUUAUCUGCUCCAAAAGUCCUCGAGAUGUGAUCCUCGAACUAUCCUCUAGAGAAGAGAUAUCUUCAACAUAAGUCUCCCAAGAGAACAACUCAGAACCAGUUGGCAACAUUUGCAUAUGUGAAGUUUGAACUCCAACCCUUGCAGUAUUAAAUACUACAUUCCUGCAAUCAGGAAGAAUACUGAUGGAC